GUGGUGGUGGUUUAAAGAAAUUUAGUUUGGUUCUGUACUAAAAAGAUAACGAAACUAAUAAAUUUAUGUCGUGAGGCAUUUAGUUCAAGUUAAAUGACGCUUAGUACAAAUCAUUCAAUUUCGAAACAAUGGAUAGAACAAGUGUCAAUGACGUCACCUUCGCAUUAAUAAACAUGAAUUCAGGGAACGCUGGACCACCUGUCCUUCGUGACAAGUUGCGGGACCAUCUCGGUAGACUAUUCGGAGCUCGCCUAGACGAUGCUACAUGCUUCCUAUCUCCACUGGAUCAGACCCAGCUUACGCGACACAUGAAUUAUUUUGUGCAAGAAACAGUACAAUAACACCGAACGGUAUCGAAUCAAUAAUUUGAACUAAAAUAAUUAUUGUAGUAUGGUUACUACCUCGUUUGAUGUUUUUUUCCUUUUAGGGCCUUCAAGCACCGGUCACCGUCCUCGUGGAACUAAUCGAUAAAGACGAAGAGUUCGACGUGCGAACUAGUCCAUAGACACAGCCCACUGAGUUUCGCACCGGAUCUUCUCAGUGGGUCGCGAUUCCGAUCCAGUGGUAAAUUCAACGAAGCACUGCUCUUGCUAGAGCCAAUGUAAGCAAUCCUCUCACGUUGAGCCCGUGGGCUCACCUACCCAUCCUUGGAAUUGCCCCUUAGGCUACUAACAAUUACGUAGCGGAAAAAAUGUAUUUUUUAAGAGGGACUGCUCUUGAUAUUUAUUCUACAAAUAGGCAAAUACUUCUUGCCGAUAAUUAUUUGACAUUUUGCGAAUAAUGUAUUUUUAUUUUACAAUAUACAAAUUUAUUAUUUUGAAUAAAUGAAACUUAACCAUUAGCUGCUACAAAAGGAAAUAAUGAUAAAUCAACAAAAUAAUUGCUUUUUAAGAUUUCAUUUAGAUCGUGUUAUCCAGAAUGAAGCAAACCAACUGAUUUUUUAAAAUAAGCCAUCCUUUCAAUUCGCGUCGGGUUUUAUUUAUUUCUAGUAAAACCAGACAACUUUCUCACCAUUUUCCUAGCUUUUAAUAAAUGAUAUUGCCAUUGUACUGUGACUUUAGAUCGUUUGGAACUUCCGGGUGUACGGCUAACAGCUCGGCUAUUUCUAAUUUUUAUGUCGUAUGUUCCAUGUUAACUACUGCUCUAAGGAAUUGUUUGAUCUCAUCCGUCCAUCUUCUUUUUACCAUCGCACUGCCCACCCUCGCAGCAGAGUUCAUCCAUACUAUUUUAAACCACUGUGUUCAUAUAUUUUUUUUGCCACUUACCAUUCGGCUCUGGAAUGAACUCCCACGGUGUUUUCAGAGUGCUAUGACUUGUUCUUCUAAAAACAAAGCUUGAGGAGAGUACGCAUCGCUAGGUAAUAACUUGAAUGCGCCCCUAGUAUUGCCAAAGUCCAUGAGCGAUAGAUAGAUCGUAUGCUCGUAUAAAAAAGACUAUGAUGACUAAUAUUCAAAUUAAAUGCACCAAUGUCCUGAAACAAAUUGUACCAUAUUAUCAUACACUAUGUCAACAAGGUACUAUCAACAUUUUCUCAACGACCAACGAUAACCAUUUAAAGAUUUAACUGAACUGAACUGAGCUGAAUAGAGAGUAAGCGAACAAAAAACCUCAUAAGGUGGGACAAUCCUAUAAACAACACAAUCGAAGCUUUAACGUUGUUUCUCAAAAUGGGUGAUAACAUUCGUGUUGUUGGCUCACCAUAGUUCACCGAUACACAAUGAAAAAGAAAUAUAAACAUUGUGCGAGUAUGUACUGUCUCUAAGAUAUUGUAAGAAUUUAAUUAAUAUGUCCUUCAAAUAUUAGAUGAUAUUCAUCCGUGGCUUAGAUUGUCUCCCCGCAAAGUCUAAAAAACUAUAAAAUUCAACUUUUAAGUAAUAAUGCUUCUUCUUUUCUGCAUAACAGGAUCCAAUUUUCAAGACAAUCCAGACCCCGAAAGCAAAUUACUGUGAUUCUUUAAGCCAAUAACGAUUUUUCCUUUUGUUUACAAACUCGAAUACCACGUAAACGGUUACAAUGAAUUGGGGUGCUAUAAUUGACCCUCAAAGCGGGAAUGUGCUCGAAUAAUUUGAAAAAUUAACAUUGUCUAAUGACAUGGAUCUACUCGGAAGAAAGUGAAGUUAAAAAUCUGGAUGUGUUGAAAAAAAUAAUGAUCAAUGACUUAAGGAGUAAAAAUUCAGUAGAAUAUUAUCUACAUAAACUCGUAAGUUCUACGUUCUUCGAAGCUGACGUUAAAGUUUUUAUGUAGCUCAGAGGUCGGCAAAGUGCGGCUCCGGAGCCACAUACGGCUCUUUGGACUCUUGAGUGUGGCUCGGGCAGAAAUAUCCUACGGGCUUGCCCGGCCUCUAAUAUUAUCCGGCCGUGGACGAAAAAGCCGGCUAAUAGUAUGUACGGUCAUUUAAUAUCAGUACCCCUGACUGAUUUCGAUCAUUAUAAAUAUAUUAUUGAAACAUCACUUUUAGCCAUAAGAUCACUUUUUGUUUAAGCUAUAGGUACACACAUGCCCGUUGUCUGACGUGUUAAUUUUGUUUUUAUGUGCAAUAAAGUAUACUGUCUCUUUGAA